rnacentral:snRNA from 1 species
AUGUUCACUUAACCAGCACACAUACUGAAAAUGGAAUGGAACAAAGAAGAUUAACAUGGUCCUACACAAAGAGGACUUGCAAAUUCCUGAAGUGUUACAUUUUUUU